CAGUUCUGGACAAGUGUGUGAUGUCUAACAGAUCCACCAGUAGUAAUUCUUGAAAAGACAUAUUCCUUGAAGGUAGAAUCACUGUCAGCAGAGUCCUUGCCAGGAACAACUUUCCCGUGAAGGAGACAAUGGAAAUUUGGACAACAUUUUGAAAACCACUAACAGUAACAACGUGUUAAUAAUAAUUAAAACAUUAAGAUGAAGAAGACAAAGAAGGAAAAAUAUGAAGGGAUUGCUAAUUGCUGGUGUUCUGCAUUUGUUUUCUUAUUUAAUCCUCAUCAUAACCUCAUGAGGUGUUUCUCCCGGGAAAAGAGAGAAAUUGUUGGCAGAAAAUAAUGAAAACACAAGGACUUGUGCUAUGUGCUGAAAGAAUUGCUCCUGAAACGAUAAAGGUGAAAUGCAGAUAGAGACAAUCAAGAUACAGCCUUUUUUUUUUUUUAAUUAUUUCCAUUCCAGUCCUAUCCAUCCUGGCUAUAAAGUGACUCUCAACCCAAAGAUCUGGAAACUCCAGUUAAAUAAUGUACAUUUAAUUAU
rnacentral:lncRNA from 1 species